UACAGAGGUCUCAAGCGUUGUUCGGAAUUACUGGGCGUAAAGAGUGUGUAGGCGGUGCUCCCAGUCUGUUGUGAAAUCUCCCGGCUUAACUGGGAGGGUGCAGCGGAAACUAGAGUGCUAGAGGGUGGGAGAGGUAAGCGGAAUUCCUGGUGUAGCGGUGAAAUGCGUAGAUAUCAGGAGGAACACCUGUGGUGUAGACAGCUUACUGGACCACUUCUGACGCUGAGACACGAAAGCGUGGGUAGCAAACAGG
rnacentral:rRNA from 1 species